rnacentral:rRNA from 1 species
AGAACGAACGCUGGCGGCGUGGAUAAGACAUGCAAGUCGAACGGGACUUUUCCGAGUAGCAAUACUUGGGAAAGUUUAGUGGCGAACGGGUGCGUAACGCGUGGGGAAUCUGCCGAGAAGUGGGGGAUAGCUCGUCGAAAGGCGAAUUAAUACCGCAUAUGAUCAGGGAAGACAUCUUUCCAACAUCAAAGCCGGGGCAACCUGGCGCUUCUUGAUGACCCCGCGGCCUAUCAGCUAGUUGGUGAGGUAACGGCCCACCAAGGCUAUGACGGGUAGCUGGUCUGAGAGGACGACCAGUCACACUGGAACUGAGACACGGUCCAGACACCUACGGGU